CAGCAACGUUCUGCCCUUCAAAACAACAACCAAACAAACAGGCAGCACCAGCAGGUAAAAUCUUCCACUGCAUCUCGUGUACUUCAGACUCAUCUCUUCUGUAAGAUCCAUAGUGUGAAAGCCCUUCCUUGGAUUUAGCCUGCAUGAAGGCAGCACUUAUGAGCUCAAUGAGGCCUCAUCUCUGAAAACAACCAAGAAAUCCAAUUUUUAUUCCCUUCCAAACUUCCCUGCAAGACGCCUGACAGGAGUUGCUCCUGCUCUGAACAAUUCCCUUGCAGAAUGGCUACAUGGAGGAACAGAGGGUUUGAUUCUGCUCCCAGGACACUGAACAGGGGUUUUUAAAUUCUUGAAAAGCAUGAAAUCCACAGCAUUCCUAAAUGCCUUUCUGAUUUUUCUGUAUGAUGCUGCCUUCCUUACAAAGAUCAGCCAAGAUGGAGUUCAGUAGGGACAGGGCCAGAAGAAGAGCUGCAGGGAAGAAUGUUCACACUGGACAGCAUGCUCUCAGUAAACAGGUCUUGCAAAGAGCCCUCCUGCAGUUCUGACAGCAUAUGCCACCCAUGACUCAUGGAUCUAUUACCCACUUCUGGUACCCAAGCCCUGCUUGCCUGGGUGUGUUAUCAAAACACAGCCGAGGGAGAUUUCAGCUGGCAUGGAAAAGCCACGUGAAACAGGUCACCUGCAGAAUUCCCAGAGUGUGCCCCUGCUCAGCACAGGAUGGGGUCUGCAGGAGUUGGCCAUGUGGAAAAAGGUGAUUAUUCUGUGUCCACAAGGAAGGAGAAGCACUGGACAGCUGGAAAGCACUGCAGGCUGAGGGCAGCAGCAAUUCACAGGCUUGGAAAAUUAUGUGGGCUUUACCUUUUACACCCCUGUUAACUCUGAUUUUCAUGAAGUAGGUGGUGUUGCUACAGCAACUGUCGUAUCACAUCAUUUCUGCUGUCUCUGUCACAAGGAUCAUCUUAUUUUAUCUUAAACUCAGAUAUGCAGCUUUUCUUCAUCUAUUCUAAAGCCCUCUGUAUUUCAGAUAUGAAAAAAUUAUACAAAAUAGAGCUGUGUCAUAUAAAUGUGGUUUUUGGGGUUUUUACUGUAGCAAAGCUUAUGGAACAUUUUUAUUGGUUCUCCUUUUACAAAUGCAGAAGGAAUAAAGAAAAUGGCACUGGCAGA